rnacentral:lncRNA from 1 species
UUUUUUCUUUCCUUCUUUCUUUCUUUUUCUUUUUAAAGCACAAUUAGGAGUUCCUGCUCUGGCACAAUGGGGUUGGCGGCAUCUUGGUAGUGCUGGGAUACAUGUUCAAUCCCUGGCCCAUCAUAGUGGGUUGAGGAUCCAGCAUUUCUGCAACUGCAGCUUGGGUCACCACUGUGGCUUGAUCUGAUCCCUGGCCUGGGAACUCCUUAUGCCAUUGGGAGGCUACAUAAAAAAUUUUUUUAAAAAUCUUUUUAGGGUGACACCGGUGGCAUAUGGAGGUUCCCAGGCUAGAAGUUGAAUCAGAGGUGUAGCCACUGGCCUAUGCCACCACAGCCACAUCAAUGCCAGAUAUGAGCUGCAUCUGCACCCUACACCACAGCUCAUGGCAACUUGGGGUCCUUAACCCACUGAGCGAGGCCAGGGAUCUAACCUGCAUCCUAAGGAAUGCUAGUCAGAUUCUUUUCUGCUGAGCCAUGAUGGGAACUCCAAAAAAAUUAUUUUAAUUUCUUUUGCCAUAUUGGCUCAUCAGUGGAUGAAGGAUAGAGAAUUAGCCUAGCCUUUGUCUUUUAUCUUGUUAAUGAGCAGGAAUCUGGAACUCUAGGCAGGACAAGUGGACCUAUGGUGAGGCCCAGUAGCAGAGGCCACAAAAAGUCAAAGAUCUGACCCUGUGGUCAUCAAAGCUCUGACCACUGGUAUGGUGCCCAACACAUUGAACAUGCCAUAGGUAUCAUGUAAGGAUGCGGAUUCCUUUCCGUCAUAUGUGUGUAUAAAACCCAUGCAAAGUCUGCAGAAGAGGCAAAUGACCAAAUAUCCUAGGAUGAACAGUUCAACUUAUUGAUCCAUGCUAUAGAACCUCAUGAUAAAGAAAUUUGCAAUAGCUAAAGUGUUGAUAAUGAGCAGUGGGUACUGGUUACUAUGGCAGAAGCUGUUUGUUGCCAAACUUGUAGACAUUCUUUUUUUUCUUUCUUAACAAUAGGAAAUCUGAGCCUGCCUGAAUUGCAGAACGCCCAACUAUAUUUCUUGGUCUCUUCUGCAGUGAGCCUGGAGCAAACAUUCCCGUUUACUUGGGGGUAAUCUCUGUCCCCCCGACAACGGAUGGUGGAGACUCAGCUGAAGAGAAGCGACGGGA